CCACACCGACCGGAACUGCAUGGGCUCGAUCCCGUCCAGUCUCAGAAACGAAGCAGUUCUGGGCCUGGCUAGGACUUGGAUGGGAGACCAUGGCUGUUUUUUACACAGACCGGGGUGUGGG
rnacentral:rRNA from 1 species